CCAACCCCGCCUUUAACCUUUUAAAUAAAACACAUACGCACACACGCACACACACACACACACGCACACACACACACACACACACACAUGCAUGCACAACCUUUAAUUUACAGUAAGUAAGGUAGAUAUCUAUCCUCUAUGCUAGUAUGUCUAUUUCCUAGCCAAUAAUCCCAUUACAUAAUUUGCCAUGUUUCCUCUGGGCUGCUCUUUACUCCAAUUAGCCAAUCUACACGGCCAUUAUUUUGUGCUUCCCUAACCCAUGGCUGCUUUCUUCUCUCCUCACCUUCUUCUCCCUUCUGAUCCCAAAUCUAGGAACUCUACAUCCCACCUAUGUCUCUUCUUCCCAGCUAUUAACUGCUGGCAUCUUUAUUCACCAAUCAGCAAUAACAUGGGAGUAAAGUCACAUUGUGCCACUUGGAUCUGUGUGCAGACUCUCUCGUCUCCGGGGCAACCAGGUCUUGGGGGCCCACACUUAGCAUUGUGAUACAUAGCAACAGACCAAACCUCACACUCAUGGCACCCACCUGGGCCUUUCCUAGUGUUGAGCUAAUAGUAAACCUGUCUUACCCUUCUUCCAAGCAGGCAAACAUUAUGAUUAAGUGUCUUUUCAUCAAAGGUCAGUAGAAUGGCUGAACAAAUGUGAAAUGCCCCUGUCUCCCAUUUCCACCCGUCUCGGCCCAUGAGAUCUCGCAGCAUAAUGAUCUGUACAGUAUUAUGUGGAUUUUCCCAGCCUUGGAUACUCCAAGGCCACAGGACUAUCUUUUAAACGACUCUCCUGCUGAAUGUGCCUGUGUCAUAAUUUCAGAGGCGCAAACUCGAAGUGACACUUUAACAGCCGUGAGGGUUGGUUUGGUUCAGUUAUCAUCCUUUUAUUCCAGACACAGUCCCAGGAUCUUUUGCUUUGCAGGUCUUCAUCGAAGAGGACCCCAGCUGUUUUUCCUCCAGAACAGAUUAAAACAUCGAAUGCUCACCCUCUGCUUAGGAUUAGACUAAGGAGGUGAAUGCUCACACAGAUGUGAAGCUCAACUCUGAGAAAUAGACACAGGGAGAGACAGAUCAAACAAUGAGAGCGGCGGCAUCUUGAUGAAAAUAUUUCUGCUCCAGUCUCUGCAAUUCAGCCUUCGAAGUCAGCGCGUCAUAAAAAAGGGCAACUUCCUCACAAAAUGAACCCACUCAGCGAUUGCUCCUUCUGGGAAUUUGCUUUUGUUCCUCGGAGUCACUUUAUCUGGAACUUCAAUUUUUGGAUCACAUCUGUCGCUGAGGUAUUUAUGGUUAUUUUGCUGUUUGUUUCCUCUUCGAUGAAGGGCCCAGAGAGAGGGUGACCUUCCAAUCUCUGUGCUGCUCUGUGACCUUUGACAUCCACUCUCGGACUGGAGUAUGCAGGAUCCAUAAUUACAGUGAGCCCCACUGAAUGAUGAGACCUUUACAACAGGAUCUAGAAAGGACCUUCAGGGCAAAGCCCCUUCAUCAUCAUUUUCGUAGCAACCUUCUUUCACCCUUUAUCAGAAUCCAUCGUGUCUCCAAGGAGGGAUUCAGGAGAUGCCACACAGACAGGCUUUCAACUAUAUAGCUGUGAGCAGUAAGCUGGCCUCACUUGUCCAGAGCUGGCUGUUCCAUAUUCUCAGGCUGACCACUGGCCUUUGCCUCUCCAUCCUCUAGAACAUUCUUGUCAUUACAGAGCAUGCCCGUGGCCAGGUGGGCUUCUCUGAUUCAACCAGCCAUGCCCAUUCUGGAUCCUUCUCUUGUUAGCUUUACCAAGGAGCGUUUUCUCUAGCAUACGUAAGGAGCGUUCAUUAUUGUUCCCGCUGAUGGGGCCGUUCAGCUAAGUGCAGAUUUAACUUGAUACAAAUAUAAAAAUCUGCAUAUAUAAUCUCAAAAUCAUUCCGCGGUAUCCGCAGGGGGUCAGUUCCAGCCCCGUGUGAAAAAAAAAAUCACUUCGUGGUCAACCUCCUUGUAUAAAAUGCCGCAUUUGCUCACAGGUGAAUUGUAGAAAAGUCUUCCAAACAUUUUUACAUCACUUUGUAGAUUCUGUAUACUAGACAAUACAAUGCAAAUGUCAUGUAAAUUAUUGAAAUUAUUGCCAUAUUGCCUAGAGAAUACUAACGGGGAAUAUUACUGAGCAUAUUUGGUGUGGAACAAGGUCCUCUGAGGAAAACAGUUGCCUCCUCCUGAGGUUAGCUGCACUUUUUUUUUUUUUUUUUGGUUCUUUUUUUCCGGAGCUGGGGACCGAACCCAGGGCCUUGCCCUUCCUAGGCAAGCGCUCUACCACUGAGCUAAAUCCCCAACCCCGUUAGCUGCACUUCUUUGCUGAGAUCUCACCCCUUAAGAGUGGUCUUUGUUGACUGACACUCCUUCAUAGAAAUGUGGGUCCCAGGGCCAUUGGCCCCUAACCUCAGAUUCCAGCCACUCCUCCAAGCAGUUUGUAAGCAGUUAUGCUCUAAUUACACAUGGCUACACAAGUCUGAGAAGGUGCAAGAGUCUAUAUAGGCUGGGAAGGUUAACUCAAGUGACCUACUCCAGCAAGGCCACACUUCCUAAUCUCUCUCAAGCAGUGCCACUCCCUAAUGACCAAGCAUUCAAAUGCUUGAGCCUUUGAGGAACAUUCCUAUUCAAAGGACCACAGAAAAAAGGGAUUCGGUUGGGCUUAGUUACAGAGAAUGGAGGAGGGGUUACUGACAGAAGCCUGAGAAGCCUGGGACCCCGUUGCAGCAGCACUCAAAGUGUCUGCCUAGCAUGGAUCAUGGCCUCCUAUGCUUCAGAGAUGGAGUCCUGUGAGAUCUGGGGCUGAGUGGCCAAUGACAACUCUAUUGGAUUACGCCUAGGGUGCCAGGGGAGGUUUAGGAGUGCCCAGUCAUUGAGUUAGCAAAGGCAUUUUAAGAUUAACUGGCAUGUGUGUGUGUGUGUGUGUGUGUGUGUGUGUGUGUGUGUGUAUUUUUUCUUUAU